rnacentral:rRNA from 1 species
GACAGAGGUGCCAAGCGUUAGGCGGAAUCACUGGGCUUAAAGCGUGUGUAGGCGGAAUGGUAAGUACCUUGUGAAAUCCCCAGGCUCAACCUGGGAACUGCAUCCGAUACUGGAUGGCUUGAAUUCGGGAGAGGGAUGCAGAAUUCCAGGUGUAGCGGUGAAAUGCGUAGAUAUCUGGAGGAAUACCGGUGGCGAAGGCGGCAUCCUGGACCGACAUUGACGCUGAGGAGCGAAAGCCAGGGGAGCAAACGGG